rnacentral:rRNA from 1 species
GACGAACCGUGCAAACGUUGUUCGGAAUCACUGGGCUUAAAGGGCGCGUAGGCGGGCAAGCAAGUCGAAGGUGAAAUCCCACGGCUCAACCGUGGAAGUGCCCCCGAUACUGCUUGUCUUGAGGGAGAUAGGGGCGUGCGGAACUUCCGGUGGAGCGGUGAAAUGCGUAGAUAUCGGAAGGAACACCGGUGGCGAAAGCGGCGAUCUGGGUCGAUACUGACGCUGAGGUGCGAAAGCGUGGGGAGCAAACAGG